GUGCCAGCAGCCGCGGUAAUACGGAGGGUGCAAGCGUUAUCCGGAUUCACUGGGUUUAAAGGGUGCGUAGGCGGCUUGCCAAGUCAGUGGUGAAAGCCCGCGGCUUAACCGCGGAAUUGCCAUUGAAACUGGCUGGCUCGAGUGUAAUUGAAGUGGGCGGAAUACAUCAUGUAGCGGUGAAAUGCUUAGAUAUGAUGUAGAACACCAAUUGCGAAGGCAGCUCACUAAGUUAUAACUGACGCUGAGGCACGAAAGCGUGGGGAGCAAACAGGAUUAGAAACCCUGGUAGUCC
rnacentral:rRNA from 1 species